ACGCUGGCGGCGUGCCUAAUACAUGCAAGUAGAACGCUGAAGAGAGGAGCUUGCUCUUCUUGGAUGAGUUGCGAACGGGUGAGUAACGCGUAGGUAACCUGCCUUGUAGCGGGGGAUAACUAUUGGAAACGAUAGCUAAUACCGCAUAACAAUGGAUGACACAUGUCAUUUAUUUGAAAGGGGCAAUUGCUCCACUACAAGAUGGACCUGCGUUGUAUUAGCUAGUAGGUGAGGUAACGGCUCACCUAGGCGACGAUACAUAGCCGACCUGAGAGGGUGAUCGGCCACACUGGGACUGAGACACGGCCCAGACUCCUACGGGAGGCAGCAGUAGGGAAUCUUCGGCAAUGGGGGCAACCCUGACCGAGCAACGCCGCGUGAGUGAAGAAGGUUUUCGGAUCGUAAAGCUCUGUUGUAAGUCAAGAACGAGUGUGAGAGUGGAAAGUUCACACUGUGACGGUAGCUUACCAGAAAGGGACGGCUAACUACGUGCCAGCAGCCGCGGUAAUACGUAGGUCCCGAGCGUUGUCCGGAUUUAUUGGGCGUAAAGCGAGCGCAGGCGGUUUGAUAAGUCUGAAGUUAAAGGCUGUGGCUCAACCAUAGUUCGCUUUGGAAACUGUCAAACUUGAGUGCAGAAGGGGAGAGUGGAAUUCCAUGUGUAGCGGUGAAAUGCGUAGAUAUAUGGAGGAACACCGGUGGCGAAAGCGGCUCUCUGGUCUGUAACUGACGCUGAGGCUCGAAAGCGUGGGGAGCGAACAGGAUUAGAUACCCUGGUAGUCCACGCCGUAAACGAUGAGUGCUAGGUGUUGGAUCCUUUCCGGGAUUCAGUGCCGCAGCUAACGCAUUAAGCACUCCGCCUGGGGAGUACGACCGCAAGGUUGAAACUCAAAGGAAUUGACGGGGGCCCGCACAAGCGGUGGAGCAUGUGGUUUAAUUCGAAGCAACGCGAAGAACCUUACCAGGUCUUGACAUCCCGAUGCUAUUUCUAGAGAUAGAAAGUUACUUCGGUACAUCGGUGACAGGUGGUGCAUGGUUGUCGUCAGCUCGUGUCGUGAGAUGUUGGGUUAAGUCCCGCAACGAGCGCAACCCCUAUUGUUAGUUGCCAUCAUUCAGUUGGGCACUCUAGCGAGACUGCCGGUAAUAAACCGGAGGAAGGUGGGGAUGACGUCAAAUCAUCAUGCCCCUUAUGACCUGGGCUACACACGUGCUACAAUGGUUGGUACAACGAGUUGCGAGUCGGUGACGGCAAGCUAAUCUCUUAAAGCCAAUCUCAGUUCGGAUUGUAGGCUGCAACUCGCCUACAUGAAGUCGGAAUCGCUAGUAAUCGCGGAUCAGCACGCCGCGGUGAAUACGUUCCCGGGCCUUGUACACACCGCCCGUCACACCACGAGAGUUUGUAACACCCGAAGUCGAUGAGGUAACCUUUUGGAGCCAGCCGCCUAAGG
rnacentral:rRNA from 1 species